rnacentral:rRNA from 1 species
UGGGGAAUUUUGGACAAUGGGCGAAAGCCUGAUCCAGCAAUGCCGCGUGUGUGAAGAAGGCCUUCGGGUUGUAAAGCACUUUUGUCCGGAAAGAAAUCCUUGGCUCUAAUACAGUCGGGGGAUGACGGUACCGGAAGAAUAAGCACCGGCUAACUACGUGCCAGCAGCCGCGGUAAUACGUAGGGUGCAAGCGUUAAUCGGAAUUACUGGGCGUAAAGCGUGCGCAGGCGGUUUGCUAAGACCGAUGUGAAAUCCCCGGGCUCAACCUGGGAACUGCAUUGGUGACUGGCAGGCUAGAGUAUGGCAGAGGGGGGUAGAAUUCCACGUGUAGCAGUGAAAUGCGUAGAGAUGUGGAGGAAUACCGAUGGCGAAGGCAGCCCCCUGGGCCAAUACUGACGCUCAUGCACGAAAAGCGUGGGGAGCAAACAGGAUUAGAUACCCUGGUAGUCCACGCCCUAAAACGAUGUCAACUAGUUGUUGGGGAUUCAUUUCCUUAGUAACGUAGCU